UUCGGGGUACUCGAGCGGCGAACGGGUGAGUAACACGUGAGUAACCUGCCCCUGACUCUGGGAUAAGCCUGGGAAACCGGGUCUAAUACCGGAUACGACCAUUUCUCGCAUGGGAUGGUGGUGGAAAGUUUUUUCGGUUGGGGAUGGGCUCGCGGCCUAUCAGCUUGUUGGUGGGGUGAUGGCCUACCAAGGCGACGACGGGUAGCCGGCCUGAGAGGGCGACCGGCCACACUGGGACUGAGACACGGCCCAGACUCCUACGGGAGGCAGCAGUGGGGAAUAUUGCGCAAUGGGCGGAAGCCUGACGCAGCGACGCCGCGUGGGGGAUGACGGCCUUCGGGUUGUAAACCUCUUUCAGCAGGGACGAAGUUGACGUGUACCUGUAGAAGAAGCGCCGGCUAACUACGUGCCAGCAGCCGCGGUAAUACGUAGGGCGCGAGCGUUGUCCGGAAUUAUUGGGCGUAAAGAGCUCGUAGGUGGCUUGUCGCGUCUGCCGUGAAAGCCCGUGGCUUAACUACGGGUCUGCGGUGGAUACGGGCAGGCUAGAGGCUGGUAGGGGCAAGCGGAAUUCCUGGUGUAGCGGUGAAAUGCGCAGAUAUCAGGAGGAACACCGGUGGCGAAGGCGGCUUGCUGGGGCCAGUUCUGACGCUGAGGAGCGAAAGC
rnacentral:rRNA from 1 species